ACUGGUGACCGUGGGGGCCGGGUAGUUCUAUUUGAGAGGACAGACACAAAGGAUCAUGGUGGAUACAGAAGGGAUCUGGAAAGAAUGGAUUGUCCUAUUAGUAGGCAUCCUGAGUUUCGUUAUAAAACAGAGUUUCAGAGCCAUGAACCUGAGUUUGACUAUCUCAAGAGCUUGGAAAUAGAGGAAAAAAUAAACAAAAUCAGAUGGUGUCAAACAGCCAAUGGUGCUCUUUUUCUCCUAUCCACUAAUGAUAAAACCAUUAAGUUUUGGAAGGUCCAAGAAAAGAAGGUUAAGAAAAUUUCAGACAUGAAUGUGGACCCUUCAAAAGCUGCAAGUAAUGGUAGUGUUGCUAGUUCAAGUAACUCAAAU
rnacentral:misc_RNA from 1 species